UACAGAGACUGCAAGCGUUAUUCGGAUUCACUGGGCGUAAAGGGUGCGCAGGCGGUUGGGUGUGUCAGAUGUGAAAUCCCGAGGCUUAACCUCGGAACUGCGUCUGAAACUACUCGACUAGAGUACUGGAGAGGGAAACGGAAUUCACGGUGUAGCAGUGAAAUGCGUAGAUAUCGUGAGGAACACCGGAGGCGAAGGCGGUUUCCUGGACAGUUACUGACGCUCAGGCACGAAAGCAUGGGGAGCAAAAGGG
rnacentral:rRNA from 1 species